rfam:Spironucleus salmonicida unplaced genomic scaffold scf7180000020667, whole genome shotgun sequence.
GACUGGGUGGCCGAGCGGUUAAGGCGAUAGCCUGCUAAGCUAUUAUACUCUGUAUGCGUGGGUUCAAUUCCCAUCUCAGUCG